UACGGAGGGGGCAAGCGUUGUCCGGAAUUAUUGGGCGUAAAGAGCUCGUAGGCGGUUUGUCGCGUCUGCUGUGAAAACUCGGGGCUUAACUCCGGGCCUGCAGUGGGUACGGGCAGACUAGAGUGCGGUAGGGGAGACUGGAGUUCCUGGUGUAGCGGUGAAAUGCGCAGAUAUCAGGAGGAACACCGGUGGCGAAGGCGGGUCUCUGGGCCGUAACUGACGCUGAGGAGCGAAAGCGUGGGGAGCGAACAGG
rnacentral:rRNA from 1 species